rnacentral:tRNA from 1 species
GGGGUUGUGGCUCAGUGGUAGAGCACUUGCCUAGCACGUGCAAAACACUGGGUUCAAUCCUCAGCACCA